AACGAACGCUGGCGGCAGGCUUAACACAUGCAAGUCGAGCGCCCCGCAAGGGGAGCGGCAGACGGGUGAGUAACGCGUGGGAAUCUACCCAUCCCUACGGAACAACUCCGGGAAACUGGAGCUAAUACCGUAUACGCCCUUCGGGGGAAAGAUUUAUCGGGGAUGGAUGAGCCCGCGUUGGAUUAGCUAGUUGGUGGGGUAAUGGCCUACCAAGGCGACGAUCCAUAGCUGGUCUGAGAGGAUGAUCAGCCACACUGGGACUGAGACCCGGCCCAGACUCGUACGGGAGGCGGCAGUGGGGAAUAUUGGACAAGGGGCGCAAGCCUGAUCCAGCCAUGCCGCGUGAGUGAUGACGGCCCUAGGGUUGUAAAGCUCUUUCGCAGGUGAAGAUAAUGACGGUAACCUGAGAAGAAGCCCCGGCUAACUUCGUGCCAGCAGCCGCCGUAA
rnacentral:rRNA from 1 species